GAUGAACGCUGGCGGCGUGCCUAAUACAUGCAAGUCGAGCGAAAAGACGAGGAGCUUGCUCCGCUGUCGUUAGCGGCAGACGGGAGAGUAACACGUGGAUAACCUACCUAUAAGACUGGGAACACUUCGGGAAACCGGAGCAUAUACCGGAUGAUCUAUUGAACCGCAGGGUGCAAUAGUGAAAGACGGCUUUGCUGUCACUAAUAGAUGGAUCCGCGCCGCAUUAGCUAGUUGGUAGGGUAACGGCUUACCAAGGCAACGAUGCGUAGCCGACCUGAGAGGGUGGUCGCCCACACGGGAGCGGAGACGCGGUCCAGACUCCUACGGGAGGCAGCAGUAGGGAAUCGUCCGCAGUGGGCGAAAGCCUGGCAGAGCGGCGCCGCGUGAGUUAUGAAGGUCCUCGGUUCGUAAAACUCUGUUAUUAGGGAAGAACAAAUGUGUAAGUUACUAUGCACGUCUUGACGGUACCUAGUCAGAAAGCCACGGCUAACUACGUG
rnacentral:rRNA from 1 species